rnacentral:rRNA from 1 species
UACCCGCCCGGUUUAUACUCGAGCGGAAGUCGCUCUGUAUAGUCGCGGGUAUGAAGGUUCGGCUCGGCAACAAGAGAAGGAAAAAGGGAAGAGCCAAAGAGGAGAGGGUAAGUCGGACGGGUGCGAGAGGAGGGAGCGGCGGGGGAAAGGGGGGAGAUGGCGCGAGACGGCGCUUGGGAUCGCUCCUAGGGUUUGUGGUACCUGCGGACCUCGCCCCAGAGCCGCCUGCGGCGGCGGCGCCCCCGCUUGCCGAACCCACCGCCCACCUCCCGUCUGCACCUCCGGCGACGCCGCUGCUCGCCGGACCCACCGACCCCACUCCGGAGGCGGCUCGACGACCUACAGCUCCGUAUACAGCGCGGCAUGAGACCGGCCUGGGCGAACCGCGCGGAGUACCGGUAGAGCAUGUUCACGCCCCACCUCCGCUAGGUCAAGCUCCGCGACGCCCACCGCGUGCUGCUCCGGUUCCGACCGCUCCUGUGCUACAAGAUGGAGAUGCAGCAGGCGCUCUAGCUGCCGGCGGAGCCGGUCCCGAUGGAGGAGCUGGUCCGGACCCAGCUGAGGCAGUUGGCUGCGCGGCUCGUCGCGUUCCUCUGCGAGGACUCGGUUGAGGUUUAGAUGGUCUCGUUGGUCUAGUUUCUCUCGUAGUCUUACCCAAUAUUGGUCUAACCGCUGAAGAUAAAACGAGUACCGGUGGAAAGUCUUCGGAAAUUUUCGAUAUAACGCUGUCUUCUUGUGACGUCAUGAAGACUCGUGCGUUAGGUCUACACAUACUUACGAUAUGUACAGUUGGAACUUAACACACUAAAACGGGCACACGAGUUAAUACGUUCGUUCCGUUUCCCCAGAGUUCUAGGUGAGUCAGGCUAGUGAUGACGCUUCGACGUUCGCCACCUCCCUAACCCGAUAGAACCGGUUGUCGUUAUAUUUGAACGACGGGAUGUCAAAUAGCUCUGUCCUGGACUUGAUCCUUCGUUGAUAAGACUUCAGUAUCGGGGCGUUCUGCAGCGAUGCAUACCUCGGGAGACACGAGAACGUAACAAAUUAAUGUGACUUUAGUUCUGUUUUCAACACCUCUUACAAGUUAAACCUAGAAAAGACCUGGAACAAGGACUUCAAUUUCUAAACCAAUUGCGGAAGAUAAUGUCAGUCGCAUUGUGUACGUACCUCCAAGAACUCUCUGAAUUCGUUUCUGAUUACUACCUGGAGGUAGAACCAGUAGUAUACCUGAAAGAAACGAACGAGUAAAGGGUCUUUAACCUUAAAUACGGGAGGUGGCAAACACUGAAGAGGUGUGAGAUACUGAACGAGUACUUCUGAGGCUCGGGGUAGUUACUCCUUGUUGGAGCACAAUUACGAUUGCCCGGAGUCGACUUAAGCCGAAGAUUAGAUUAUGACGGACUUUUAAAAUUACUACUCUGUGAAGAGCGACUUAGUAGGGUAAUGUUCAAAGAGUUCAGUUUUCUAGAUAAACUGAGUGAACCCUCUUCUUUUGUAUUGACCCAAAGAUGAACAGUCCGUGCUCGAAACGAGGUCUUACGAUAUAACAAACACCAACUACUAAAGCUGUCACUCCGUUCCCUACGUUCUUCUUGACUACCAGUUCAUGAAUACCAUAGUCUACGUUCUAAGUCAUACAACUUUCAACAUAAACCGUCAAUGUGGUGGUGUUGGUUCGGUAAUUUUCUCUUCGAGUUCUCGUUUCUUCUACGACUCUAACAAGCCAAACUUUACUCUCCUCUGUAAACCCGCUCCUCUUCCUACACGAACGCCCUAUUGGGACUGAAGGUGAACGAUGUCACCUCUUUCUGAAGUCCUGAGUUCGCUCGCGUUCACUCCGUUGUUCUCCUCCGCAGUAGCGUCCUGUCGUUAUCGUUGUCUGAGGAACUUGUUCACGUUGACUGGCACUUCUUGGAACACCUCCUCGACUUUUAGUUGUGAUCUCGUCACUGCCUCAGUUCAGUCCGUUAACGUUUCAGUACGGUUCUACACCACCUCCGGACAUUCAACUGGCACCGGUCGUGGUCGUGCCCACGGCCACAUCACUUGACUCGCGCCGCUCAGAUCCACAUGAUCUUCUACUCAUCACCAGCACGCCAAACAUUGUACAAGGUACAUCUACUCCGGACAUUCAACUGGCACCGGUCGUGGUCGUGCCCACGGCCACAUCACUUGACUCGCGCCGCUCAGAUCCACAUGAUCUUCUACUCAUCACCAGCACGCCAAACAUUGUACAAGGUACAUCUACUCACGGUUCCUCGUUCAAGAUAGGACGAUGGUGAUCUAACAGAGUCAGGAACAUAAAGUCGGUUUACAAAAACAGUCUAAGAGUCACGGUUGAUAACACGGUCGUAAUCUUACAUCUGCCUGCCUGCCUGCACAUCAACACAAAUGACGAACAAUGAUUCUGUUCGACAACUCUAUAUGAAGUAGUGCCUCCACAAGCCAAGCCCCUAGACGUUAAAUUGAACCAUUGCCACCCUGUACUAAUGCAAUCAAAAACAAACCAAACGGCAUCGACAUUACUCGAGGACACCUUGGUCUAUUACAACGAUAAGUUUAGACAA